GGCCCCUUCGUCUAGUGGUUAGGACACUGGCCUCUCACGCCGGCAACACGAGUUCGAAUCUCGUAGGGGUCACCA
rnacentral:tRNA from 1 species